AUGAUUCCUCCUAUCAUUCUCAACUCAUCAUUGUUCACCAUCAUUCUUAUCCCGUCAACGACUCUACUUUAUGAACAUCCCAUAUUCGCUCAACUCUGCUUCAGUUUUGUUCAUCUCUGUUCUUAUCACGAAUCAACCGUCUUUGUUAAACACCAUUCAUUUCGAUCACGGUCUUUGUUUUGUUCACAACAACGUGAUUUCACUCUUCAAUCUCUAUCGUGA